rnacentral:rRNA from 1 species
AGCAGCCACUCAUUAAAAGAGUGCGUAAUAGCUCACUGGUCGAGUGACUCUGCGCCGAAAAUUUAACGGGGCUAAACUAUACACCGAAGCUUGGGAUACAUCUAAUGUAUGGUAGGAGAGCGUUCUGUAUGGGGAGAAGUCGUAGCGAAAGCGGCGGUGGACUAUACAGAAGUGAGAAUGCCGGAAUAAGUAGCGAGAAUUAAGUGAGAAUCUUAAUGGCCGAAAGUCUAAGGUUUUUGGAGGAAGGUUCGUCCGCUCCAAGUAAGUCGGGAGCUAAGGUCAGGCCGAAAGGCGUAGCCGAUGCACAUACGGUUGAUAUUCCGUAACCAUCUGUAAUUUAAGCAAAGGGACACUUCAAAAGGGUGUGACCCGGGCGUUGGUUGACCCGGGCGUAAGGGACCGAAAUUAGAGUAGGGAAGCACACUUAGCUGAAGGCGAGAAAAGCUUUGCGUAUAGAAACAGAUGCCCGUACCGCAAACCGACACAGGUGGACAGGAAGAGAAUUCUAAGGCCAGCGGGAGAAGGGUAGUUAAGGAACUCGGCAAAUUGACUCCGUAACUUCGGAAUAAGGAGUGCUCGAAAGAGCCGCAGAGAAUAGGCCCAGGCGACUGUUUAGCAAAAACACAGGUCUCUGCCAAAUCGAAAGAUGAAGUAUAGGGGCUGACACCUGCCCGGUGCCGGAAGGUUAAGAGGAGGAGUGAGAGCUCCGAAUUGAAGCCCCGGUAAACGGCGGCCGUAACUAUAACGGUCCUAAGGUAGCGAAAUUCCUUGUCGGGUAAGUUCCGACCCGCACGAAUGGUGUAACGAUCUGGGCACUGUCUCAACUACCCACCCGGCGAAAUUGUAGUACCGGUGAAGAUGCCGGUUACCUGCGGCAAGACGGAAAGACCCCAUGGAGCUUUACUGUAGCCUGAUAUUGGGUUUCGGAAAUCUAUGUACAGGAUAGGCGGGAGACUAGGAAACAUGAGCGUCAGCUUGUGUGGAGUCGAUGUUGGGAUACCGCCCUUAGGUUUCUGGAAUUCUAACCUGCGGCCGUGAAUCCGGUCGGGGGACAUUGUCAGGUGGGCAGUUUGACUGGGGCGGUCGCCUCCGAAAAGGUAACGGAGGCGCUCAAAGGUUAGCUCAGCACGGACGGAAACCGUGCCUCUGAGUGUAAACGCAAAAGCUAGCCUAACUGCGAGGGUGACGGCCCGAGCAGUAACGAAAGUUGGAGUUAGUGAUCCGGCGGUAUGUGAAUGGAAAUGCCGUCGCUCAACGGAUAAAAGCUACCCUGGGGAUAACAGGCUGAUCUCCCCCAA